rnacentral:rRNA from 1 species
ACCCCUUGGCGGCCCCCUAACACAUGCAAGUCGAACGAGAUCUUCGGAUCUAGUGGCGCACGGGUGCGUAACGCGUGGGAAUCUGCCCUUGAGUUCGGAAUAACAGUUAGAAAUGACUGCUAAUACCGGAUGAAGUCUACGGACCAAAGAUUUAUCGCCCAGGGAUGAGCCCGCGUAGGAUUAGCUAGUUGGUGGGGUAAAGGCCUACCAAGGCGACGAUCCUUAGCUGGUCUGAGAGGAUGAUCAGCCACACUGGGACUGAGACACGGCCCAGACUCCUACGGGAGGCAGCAGUGGGGAAUAUUGGACAAUGGGGGCAACCCUGAUCCAGCAAUGCCCGCGUGAGUGAUGAAGGCCUUCGGGUCGUAAAGCCUCUUUUACCCGGGAUGAUAAUGACAGUACCGGGAGCA